GUGUCAGCCGCCGCGGUAAGACGAACCGUGCGAACGUUAUUCGGAAUCACUGGGCUUAAAGCGCGUGUAGGCGGGCCGCCACGUCGGCUGCUGAAAUCCCCCGGCUCAACCGGGGAACGGGCACCGAUACGAGCGGCCUCGAGGGGGGUAGGGGGACCUGGAACUUCCGGUGGAGCGGUGAAAUGCGUUGAGAUCGGAAGGAACGCCCGUGGCGAAAGCGAGGUCCUGGACCCUUUCUGACGCUGAGACGCGAAAGCCAGGGGAGCGAACGGGAUUAGAUACCCCGGUAGUCCUGGCCGUAAACGAUGAACACUGGGUAGGGGGCUCGCCGAUGGGCUCCCUGCCGUAGGGAAACCGUGAAGUGUUCCGCCUGGGGAGUAUGGUCGCAAGGCUGAA
rnacentral:rRNA from 1 species